AUUCUGAUUAGUUGAUUCCGUAGCAUUGUAAGAAGCUAUGGUUAGAGACUAAUAGAAACUUUCCUAUAAUAAGGACCACUCUGAUUGGCUAUUACUUUUGACUUGGUAUUGGACAACGAUUCUGAUUAACUCGCUUAGCAAUAUGGAAGUGGUAGCAAUAUUAAAUCAAGACCGCAUUUGAAUUUGUGUAGUCUUAUAUGUAAAUCUUAACCUCAAAUCUACUUAUGUGACAAUAUUAAUCUUUAAUUACGAAACAUUGGAAUAAAUUUAUUAAACAAAAUGGCUAUGCAAGUUCCUGCUAAAGUAAAGUUCGAUGAAAUUCAGACUUUUAAAAACUUCAUAACGUCUUACAACAAACUAUCAGAGAUUUGUUUUAUCGACUGCAUAACCGAUUUUACUACGCGUGAUGUUAAACCCAAGGAAGAAAAGUGCGCGCUUAACUGUAUGGAAAAAUAUUUAAAAAUGAACCAACGAGUCUCCCAGCGAUUCCAAGAAUUUCAAAUAAUUGCCAAUGAAAAUGUAUUGGCAGCUGAAAAGAAACUUGGACGGAUAUAAUGUCGAAGAAAAAUUUGUGUUUCAUGUAUAAAACAUAUUGAUAUAAAUAUUAUAUAAUUGCAUUACAUGAAAGGUUAAAGUAUUGUAUUCAAUUUAUUUUUUACCAAAUAUCAUGACAGUUAAAUAUAAAUUUGAUAUUUUCAAAUAUGAGUUUAAAUAUGAGACACGUUUGUUCUGACGUUAUAAAAAUAAUUAACCUAUCGUGGUUGGAUCAUUUAAAUGAUUUUCAAUAUAAGCGGCAUAGUAUCUUGCGUUUGUUGGACAAUUUGCGUACCAAAACUUGUACUAGAAAUAUGUUGUUCAUGACAUUGCAUCAUUGAAUCGGGAUUAGAAUACGGAUAUCGCAGAUGGAAGAUGAACUAUCAUCCGAGUGUUUGCUUAUAUUCAGCGAGGCUGGAAAAUAAAUGCGAUUCUUAUCGAGCAACUUUAUCUCAAAUCUUGAAAAAGCUAUUAAUCAAAGAUUACAUGCGAAUGUAAUUCAACUUCUUGUACAUUGAUAUUUAUAGAAAGACAAUCUUGACAACAAUCCACUGUAUACCUCGUAGAAGCAAACUGUAAUUAAUGUUGUCAUAGAAUUAGAUCAAUUGGUAUUCUGUAUCUUCAACUUUUAGUUUUAAUAAUCAAAAUAUAUG